UACAGAGGGGGCAAGCGUUGUUCGGAAUUACUGGGCGUAAAGGGCGCGUAGGCGGCCUGCUAAGUCGAACGUGAAAUCCCCGGGCUCAACCCGGGAACUGCGUCCGAUACUGGCAGGCUUGAAUCCGGGAGAGGGAUGCGGAAUUCCAGGUGUAGCGGUGAAAUGCGUAGAUAUCUGGAGGAACACCGGUGGCGAAGGCGGCAUCCUGGACCACGACUGACGCUGAGUGAGCGAAAGCCAGGGGAGCAAACGGG
rnacentral:rRNA from 1 species